UACGGAGGAUGCGAGCGUUAUCCGGAUUUAUUGGGUUUAAAGGGUGCGUAGGCGGCCUGCCAAGUCAGCGGUAAAAUUGCGGGGCUCAACCCCGUACAGCCGUUGAAACUGCCGGGCUCGAGUGGGCGAGAAGUAUGCGGAAUGCGUGGUGUAGCGGUGAAAUGCAUAGAUAUCACGCAGAACCCCGAUUGCGAAGGCAGCAUACCGGCGCCCUACUGACGCCGAGGCACGAAAGUGCGGGGAUCAAACAGG
rnacentral:rRNA from 1 species